rnacentral:rRNA from 1 species
GACGAACGCUGGCGGCGUGCUUAACACAUGCAAGUCGAACGGAGAGGCCCUGCUUUUGUGGGGUGCUCGAGUGGCGAACGGGUGAGUAACACGUGAGUAACCUGCCCUUGACUUUGGGAUAACUUCAGGAAACUGGGGCUAAUACCGGAUAGGAGCUCCUGCUGCAUGGUGGGGGUUGGAAAGUUUCGGCGGUUGGGGAAGGAGUCGGGGCUUAUCAGCUUGUUGGUGGGGUAGUGGCUUACCAAGGCUUUGGCGGGUAGCCGGCCUGAGAGGGUGACCGGCCACAUUGGGCCUGAGGUACGGCCCAGAGUGCAACGGGAGGCAGCAGUGGGGAACAUUGCACAAUGGGCGGAAGCCUGAUGCAGCGACGUCGCGUGCGGGAUGACGGCCUUCGGGUUGGAAACCGCGUUCGCCUGUGACGAAGCGUGAGUGACGGUAAUGGGUAAAGAAGCACCGGCUAACUACGUG